UGCGUGGCCCGGGGGAUGGAGGCUCCCACGGAAUUACAGAUACCGAACACGAAAGCCCCUUGCUUGCGUGCCAGUUCGAUGGCGGCCAACGUAUC
rnacentral:tRNA from 1 species